rnacentral:ncRNA from 1 species
AGAUAGAGGUGCGAUUUCCAAGAGUACCGCAGUCGAGUCUCUCAACAGACGUUGACGCUGCGGGAAAGGGGCCGUCGCCGAAGUGUGCCGAUUCGUUGAGAGCCGGUAUGCUGGCCACGUGGGAGAACAGUCCCACGGGCUGUCACGGCAAGCGUUUGCCGUGGAGAGCUAGCU